GUGGUAAUGACAUUCCAAUCAAAGCACGUUAGACUGCUGAUGCUGGUGAUGUGAACAUAAAUCUGAC